rnacentral:rRNA from 1 species
GGAUAUCUUGGCUCUUGCAACGAUGAAGAACGCAGCGAAAUGCGAUACCUAGUGUGAAUUGCAGAAUUCCGCGAAUCAUCGAGUUUUUGAACGCAAGUUGCGCCCGAGGCUCGUUCCGAGGGCAUGCCUGCCUGAGCGUCCGC